AUUAACUGAUGAUCCUGGAAUGGUAAUUCUUUUUCUAAAUAAUUUAUAACUGAACAUGUUGUGAUAGAUCAAUGUUAUAUUUUUGCAUUCUGAAGACUCACUGCUACAUUUUUAUUUGGUGCAUCCCUUCAAUUUGGACCAUUGUGCUUAUGAUUACAUUUUGGCUUGUAUUUAGUGUUGGGAACCUUCAUUAGCCAUGUUUGACAGUAUAAUUUGCAAAACAUGGGUUAAUGUGGAGGAUCCGUUUGGAAAGAAAAAUUCAGUAGUUUUUGUGUCUACCUAGAUUUUUGGUGGGCCAGGGGUCUUUAGGUUUUAUUGGGUGGUCUGCUGGGUCUGGGCUUCACAUUAGGUGGUAGCCAUCCAAACUUUGCGAUGUUGGCUGUCUUCAUUAUACAGCCAAUGGAAAGCCAAUUUCUUUAUCUUUCUUGUAUAGAUGUUUAGACUGGAAAAAAACUGCAUCAGAAGUUUAUAUUAUGGGCAUUGGAUCUAGUAUAGUCCUUGAAUCAUCCUUGGACGUAAAUGAUGUGCUUCUGUUUGGUUCAGGUGGGAAUUGAAGCAUGGAAGAA
rnacentral:misc_RNA from 1 species